GGGGUGGAGCCUGUAGAACCAAUUCAGGGCCGCGCCGCUGAGGGUGGAAGGGAAAAGGAGGCACAUGCCUUCAUCAGUGAGGCCUUUGCACCCAAGGGCAGACUGGAAGGAGUGGAUGUGGGUGAGAGGGUCCUCCGUGCCAGUGUAGAAAGCGAUGCGGAGUGGCUGGAUAUCUUUCUCCUGGUGGUAGUGGAGGAUGCGUUCGGUAAAGGGCCCUGGUCGUGGUUUUGCCCAGAGGGGUUGAUGGCUG
rnacentral:lncRNA from 1 species